rnacentral:rRNA from 1 species
UGGGGAAUAUUGGACAAUGGGCGCAAGCCUGAUCCAGCCAUGCCGCGUGAGUGAUGAAGGCCCUAGGGUUGUAAAGCUCUUUCACCGGUGAAGAUAAUGACGGUAACCGGAGAAGAAGCCCCGGCUAACUUCGUGCCAGCAGCCGCGGUAAUACGAAGGGGGCUAGCGUUGUUCGGAUUUACUGGGCGUAAAGCGCACGUAGGCGGACUUUUAAGUCAGGGGUGAAAUCCCGGGGCUCAACCCCGGAACUGCCUUUGAUACUGGAAGUCUUGAGUAUGGUAGAGGUGAGUGGAAUUCCGAGUGUAGAGGUGAAAUUCGUAGAUAUUCGGAGAGACACCAGUGGCGAAGGCGGCUCACUGGACCAUUACUGACGCUGAGGUGCGAAAGUGUGGGGAGCAAACAGG